rnacentral:rRNA from 1 species
UUUCACAGAGGGAUAGCCCAGAGAAAUUUGGAUUAAUACCUCAUAGUAUAGCAGUUUCGCAUGAAACCACUNUUAAAGUCACAACGGUGAAAGAUGAGCAUGCGUCCAUUAGCUAGUUGGUAAGGUAACGGCUUACCAAGGCAACGAUGGGUAGGGGGUCCUGAGAGGGAGAUCCCCCACACUGGUACUGAGACACGGACCAGACUCCUACGGGAGGCAGCAGUGAGGAAUAUUGGACAAUGGGCGCAAGCCUGAUCCAGCCAUGCCGCGUGCAGGAUGACGGUCCUAUGGAUUGUAAACUGCUUUUAUACAGGAAGAAACACUACUUCGUGAAGUAGCUUGACGGUACUGUAAGAAUAAGGAUCGGCUAACUCCGUG